UACGAGGGGGGCAAGCGUUGUUCGGAAUUAUUGGGCGUAAAGGGCGCGUAGGCGGCCUUCUAAGUCGAACGUGAAAUCCCCGGGCUCAACCCGGGAACUGCGUCCGAUACUGGGAGGCUUGAAUCCGGGAGAGGGAUGUGGAAUUCCAGGUGUAGCGGUGAAAUGCGUAGAUAUCUGGAGGAACACCGGUGGCGAAGGCGGCAUCCUGGACCGGUAUUGACGCUGAGGCGCGAAAGCCAGGGGAGCAAACGGG
rnacentral:rRNA from 1 species